GUGCUUCAGCAGCACAUAUACUAAAAUUGGAAGGAUACAGGGAAGAUUAGCAUGGCCCCUGCACAAGGAAGACACACCAGUUUGUAAAGCAUUCCAUAGUGAA